rnacentral:rRNA from 1 species
GCGGCGUGCCUAAUACAUGCAGUAGAACGCUGAAGUCUGGUGCUUGCACUAGACGGAUGAGUUGCGAACGGGUGAGUAACGCGUAGGUAACCUGCCUCAUAGCGGGGGAUAACUAUUGGAAACGAUAGCUAAUACCGCAUAACAGUAUUUACUGCAUGGUAGAUACUUGAAAGGAGCAAUUGCUUCACUAUGAGAUGGACCUGCGUUGUAUUAGCUAGUUGGUGAGGUAACGGCUCACCAAGGCAUCGAUACAUAGCCGACCUGAGAGGGUGAUCGGCCACACUGGGACUGAGACACGGCCCAGACUCCUACGGGAGGCAGCAGUAGGGAAUCUUCGGCAAUGGGGGCAACCCUGACCGAGCAACGCCGCGUGAGUGAAGAAGGUUUUCGGAUCGUAAAGCUCUGUUGUAAGAGAAGAACUGUGAGAAGAGUGGAAAGUUUCUCACUUGACGGUAUCUUACCAGAAAGGGACGGCUAACUACGUGCCAGCAGCCGCGGUAAUACGUAGGUCCCGAGCGUUGUCCGGAUUUAUUGGGCGUAAAGCGAGCGCAGGCGGUUUGAUAAGUCUGAAGUAAAAGGCUGUGGCUUAACCAUAGUACGCUUUGGAAACUGUCAAACUUGAGUGCAGAAGGGGAGAGUGGAAUUCCAUGUGUAGCGGUGAAAUGCGUAGAUAUAUGGAGGAACACCGGUGGCGAAAGCGGCUCUCUGGUCUGUAACUGACGCUGAGGCUCGAAAGCGUGGGGAGCGAACAGGAUUAGAUACCCUGGUAGUCCACGCCGUAAACGAUGAGUGCUAGGUGUUGGGUCCUUUCCGGGACUCAGUGCCGCAGCUAACGCAUUAAGCACUCCGCCUGGGGAGUACGACCGCAAGGUUGAAACUCAAAGGAAUUGACGGGGGCCCGCACAAGCGGUGGAGCAUGUGGG